AGAUUGAACGCUGGCGGCAUGCCUUACACAUGCAAGUCGAACGGCAGCACGGGAGCAAUCCUGGUGGCGAGUGGCGAACGGGUGAGUAAUACAUCGGAACGUGCCCAAUCGUGGGGGAUAACGCAGCGAAAGCUGUGCUAAUACCGCAUAAGAUCUACGGAUGAAAGCAGGGGAUCGCAAGACCUUGCGCGAAUGGAGCGGCCGAUGGCAGAUUAGGUAGUUGGUGAGGUAAAGGCUCACCAAGCCUUCGAUCUGUAGCUGGUCUGAGAGACGACCAGCCACACUGGGACUGAGACACGGGCCCAGACUCCUA
rnacentral:rRNA from 1 species